rnacentral:rRNA from 1 species
UACAGAGGUCUCAAGCGUUGUUCGGAUUCAUUGGGCGUAAAGGGUGCGUAGGUGGCGCUGUAAGUCGGGUGUGAAAUUUCGGAGCUUAACUCCGAAACUGCAUUCGAUACUGCGGUGCUUGAGGACUGGAGAGGAGACUGGAAUUCAUGGUGUAGCAGUGAAUGCGUAGAGAUCAUGAGGAAGACCAGUGGCGAAGGCGGUCUCUGGACAGUUCCUGACACUGAGGCACGAAGGCCAGGGAGCAAACGG